UACGAAGGGGGGCUAGCGUUGUUCGGAAUUACUGGGCGUAAAGCGUGCGCAGGCGGUUUUGUAAGUCUGUCGUGAAAUCCCCGGGCUCAACCUGGGAAUUGCGAUGGAGACUGCAAGGCUAGAAUCUGGCAGAGAGGGGUAGAAUUCCACGUGUAACAAUGAAAUACGUAGAGAUGUGGAGAAACACCGAUAACGAAAAACAGCCCCCUAAAUCAAAAAUUAACACUCAUGCACGAAAGCGUGGGGAGCAAACAGG
rnacentral:rRNA from 1 species